UCUAUCAAAGGAGAAUAGUUACCCCGCU
rnacentral:tRNA from 1 species